rnacentral:lncRNA from 1 species
CCGUACACACAACCCGGACCUCGGAAUCCCAGCAGGCUGGCCCGACCCCCGCCCCCCCACCAUGAGCGCCGCCGCUGGCUGCAGGCAGAGUCGCUGCCGCCCCGGCCCGCCGCUGGCUCCAGUCCGCCGCCAUUAUUCUUUGUUCGCUGCGAGCGGCGGCGAUGUUGUGGGGCUCGGGCGGAGGCUCCAUCUUUACCGCGGCCCCUCCUGCGAGGGGAAGGCCCCGAGCGCGGGUGUCCGGCGCCUCCCCGUCCCCCCUCCGUCCCCCCGGCUCUCUCCGGCUCCUGCCUCCUCCUCCUGCUCCUCUUACCGGUGGUACAAGCUCCUCCGUCACUGCUUUCGUUCGCGGCCCGGAUCUCGCUGGAGUUUUAUUCUCUCCCCCACGUAACACACCGCGUCAAACUACACCUCCGCCGCGUCACUCACCAACACUCCGCUUCUCCCAGCCGCCCGGGCCACAGGCAGCAGCAGCCGCCGCCGACUGAGGAGCCGCAGCCAGGGAGCCAGCCAGCGCCGCCCAGUGCCGAGUGCGCAGCGGCUGCGCACGGAAACAGCCGAGCGCGGCCCGGAGCGGCUCGAGCGGCCCCGCCCCCGCGUUGGAGGCGGAACUUGCCGAAGGCCUUCGGGCUCCUUCGCGCCAGGCGGAGCGGGGCUCAGCGGGGAAGGGGCCGGGCGGCGAGGGCUGAGACCCGUGCGGGGAGGAGCGCUCUCUACCCCGGCGUGGCGUUCGGGGCGCUGAAACCCCGCGGCGGAAAUUUGCAGGAGGAAGCGGGGUUGGUGUGUGACCCGGUGGGGGAAUUCCCAAGGGUUCUAGGUGACUGGCUGGAAACCCCCCGCAGGCCUACCCCGAGGCGCUCCAUUUAAUCUGAAAGAGACGAAGACCUCUGAAGCUUUGUGGACUUCCCAGGUCCCAACGUCAGAACUGAGGAAGAACUGAUCAGCAAGAUUCUUGUGUGUUUUAUUUAUUACUUGAGGACCAAAUGAUAAGGUACUAGUGCUGCUGCCUUCUUCACCUGCCCCAUGUCAUCGUGGAAGCAAAGUCAAAUGACCUAACUCUUAGAAAGUGCAAGAAAGAUCAUUUGUUGACAAUGAAAACCAGUAAUGCCAGCAAGUAUUUAUUGAGUGCUUACCUUAUGCUAAGUACUUUCUGAUGUAUUAACUAAUUUAAUCCUCCUAACAACCAAGUGAGUGGAAUAUUAAUAUUAGGAACAUUCUACAGAUGAUUAACCUGAAGCCAGAGAGGAAAUAUGUCUGAGGUCUUAGAGCUAGCAAGUGGCAGACACAGAAUGUGAACCCAGGGAGUCUGACCCUGGAGCCUGCAUUCUUAGCAUUCUGUGUUCCAUUGCCUGCUUGCAGAAUGAAAGGGGGAAGGGGCUUUGCUUGAAAAAGAAAGCAAUUAUGACUCCACCAAUAUAAUUCUGUCAUUCUGAAGCACCAUAGUAACCCAAGAACAUUCUCCUGGUGUCAGCCCUGUUGCUAUUUUCAUGUGUGACACAAGAAUCAGGCUCUCUGGCUUCCAAGAUGCCUUGUCAGUUUUCCGAGGCAAAGAAGUGGCCUCCUUGAAAUGUGUUGCCAAACACCUCCCCUUCAUCUUUGCUUCACAAGCUCAUGCUUUUUAGCUGUUCUCUAGAGGGUGUAUCAUUAACUCAGACCCCUCCCUAACUCCCUCUGCCCUCUCCUCCCAAAUCAACACCCUGGUCUGAACUAGGUGCCUAAACUCUGUUUCUAUUUCCAUCAAAGCACCUGUCACACUUUUCAUUAUUUGUCUGCUUCUCUACUAACUCUAACCUCUGUGUGAUCAGGGAUUGUGUCUGUCUUAAUUCAUUGCUGUAUUCUUUAAUUUUUUUUUAAAAAAUUAUUUAUUUGAAAGGCAGAGUUACAGAGAGGGGGAGGCAGAGGCAGGGAGAGAGGGAAAUCUUCCAUCUGCUGGUUCAAUUCCCAAGUGGCCACAAUGGCCAUGGUUGUGCCAGAUGGAAGGCAGGAGCCAGGAGCUUCUUCCAGGUUUCCAAUGUAGGUGCAUGGGCUCAAGCACUUGGGCCAUUUUCUGCUGUUUCCCAGGCACAUUAGCAGGGAGCUAGAUUGAAAGUGGAACAGGCAGUACUCAAACUGACACCCAUAAGGGAUGCUGGCACUGCAGGCUGCAGCUUAACUUGCUAUGCCACAGUGACAGUCCCAUUGCUGUAUUCUUAAUGCUUAACAUGGUGUUUGGCACAUUGAAGAGGUUGAAUAGAUUUUUUUUUUUUGAUGAAUGAAAGUGGUAUUUUUGUAAAAUAUCUGUGAUCAAAACCAUACAUUGGGACCUGUGCUGUGGUGUAGUGGAUAAAACCUCCACCCUCAGUGCUGGCAUUCCAUAUGGGCGCCGGUUCAAGUCCUGGCUGCUCCACUUCUGAUCCAGCUCUCUACUAAUGCAUCUGGGAAAGCAGCAGAGGAUGGCCCAAGUCCUUGGGCCCUGCACCCACAUGGGAGACCUGGAAGAAACUCCAGGCUCCUGGCUGAGGACUGGCACAGCUUCAGCUGCUGGGCCUAUUUGGGGAGUGAACCAGGGGAUGGAAAACCUCUCUCUCUCUCUGCCUCUCAAAUCAAUAAGUAAAUCUUUAAAGGAAUCUAUUAAAAAAUCAUAUAUUAAGGUGAAUUUUCUGUGGCUAAGAUAGUCCAUUUUUUUUAAGCUGGGUGGUAAAAAUACCAAUUUAAGUGUUAAAAUGAUCAUGUGGAUAAGAUUAAGUGUCUGGUAAUAAUAAUAGAUAGAAUUAAAAAGGGGUGAAUGCUCUAAAAUGAGAAGCAAUCCACACAGCAGACUCUUAGAAUGACAAUCACUUUAAAUAGCAGUCUGACCUCAGAAUCAGCCCUUAAGGCAUUCUGGUCUGGCUGACAGGCCCACAAGAGCAUUUCAGGCAUGGAAGGCCAGAACACUCAUGCAAAAAGUGUUCUUACAUGGAGAACCACAUGGAUGCAGGGGUCUAAGUGCUUGGGCCAUCUUCCUCUGCUUUCCUAGGCACAUUAGCAGGGAGCUGGAUUGGAAGUGGAGCAGCUGAGACUCGAACCAGCACCUAUAUGGGAUGGUGAUAUUACAUGUGACAGUUUAACCUGGUACACCCCAACACUGGCCCCACUAUUCCAUCUUUUUACAGAAAUGGAAAAUAUUUCUUUUUCUUUUUGCCUGCCUUCCAGCUGUUGAGUUUUCAUGUUAAGGUAUCAUUGCCAAUGCCAUAAUGGUACUUAGCAGUUAGUACCUCUUUCUGCAGCAGUGUCAACACCAUCCAACUGCCAUGUGAUAGGUGUCUUGCUAAGGUCUUUCACGUAUAUUGCUAAUUUAAAUUGAGAUAACUUCUCUGGGUUUCAGUUCCCUCAUAUAUUCAUGAUACCUAAUUGACCUGUAUGUGAUUACACUGUAAUUUUAAGAAUUGAGAUAUGAAUUUAGAACCUGGAAUUUUAACUUUAGCUUUCUUUUUAAAAAAAUGCACGAUGUUCUUCCUGUUCCCAUCUCUGAUCUUUGUCUACUAAUAGGGCUCAUAUCACUAAGUAACAAAUAUAUAUUUUAGAAUCUUAUCAUACAUACCUCCUUCAAAAACUUUUGCCCCCCCCCCCCCAUUUUCCUUGUUUAGUUAUUCCCUUCCUGUUUUUAUUCUGACAGCUUCUUUUGCAAACGAUGAUAACAUUCCUGGGGCCUGUCCUAAUCUAGUGUAUGGAUUGAGGGCAUUAGUGACAUUUGGUUAUCUCUAUUAUUUCUAUGCUAAUAUCAUAUCUAUAUCAGAAACAUCUGAGAAGAUUCUCAGAGAUUAGAAAACCAGGACAUAUACUAUUUGGGCUCCUGAUCAAUAAGGUCAUUCACUUUAUGCUUUUUGGUCUGCACUUUCCUGGCCCUUAUAUAAACACUUACAUUAGGCAGAACAAUACCCCGAGAAAGAUGUCCAUAUUGUGAUUCUUAGAACCCAUGAAUAUGUUCAUUGGCAAAAGAGACUUGGCAAAUAUAAUUAAGUUACAGAGUUUCAGAUGGGGAGAUUAUCCUGGAUUAUUUGGGUAGGUCCAAUACAGUCACAAAUUGCUAAGGAAAGGGGAAACAAGGGAGACAGAGGGAGAGAGAAAUUGGAAUUUGUUUAGCUAUGGCUUUGAAGAUGGCAGAUGCAGCCAUGAACCAAGGAAUGUCAACAGCCUCUUGGAGGAAUAAAAGGCAAAGCAAUAGAUUCUCUCCUGAAGUU